ACACGCAUGACACACUGCAUAUCAAUAAGCGGAGGAAAAGAAACUAACAAGGAUUCCCUUAGUAACGGCGAGUGAAGCGGGAAGAGCUCAAAUUUGAAAUCUUCAAGGUUUUACCUUGACGAAUUGUAGUUUAAAGAAGUGUUUUCUGUUGAAGUUUUGGUAAAAGUUCUUUGGAAUAGGACAUCAUAGAGGGUGAGAAUCCCGUAUUUGACCAUUAUUUUCAGCUGUGUGAUACACUUUCAAAGAGUCGGAUUGUUCGGGAAUGCAGUCCAAAAUGGGUGGUAAAUUUCAUCUAAAGCUAAAUAUUGGCGAGAGACCGAUAGCGAACAAGUACCGUGAGGGAAAGAUGAAAAGAACUUUGAAAAGAGAGUUAAACAGUACGUGAAAUUGUCAAAAGGGAAGCGUUUGACACCAGUGUUGUUUUUCCGAAAAUCAAUUACGAAUGUUUUGUUUUUGAGGAGUUAUGACUUCAUCGGCUUGCUCCUUUCUUUAUGAGACUUUCUUAAUGCACUUUUCGGUUAACAAGUCAACAUCAAUUUCUUUUGUUGUAAAAGGGUAUGAGGAAGGUGGCUUUCUUUUCGGAGAAAGUGUUUAUAGCCUUGUGCCUCUGCAAUCGGAGAGAUUGAGGUCUGCAGCGUAGAUCCUUCGGAGUUAGAUACGUUUGUGCUAAGUUAUAGCUUUUCAUAGACAACUUGUUGACUAUGUUUAGUCUUGUAGCUUACUCGCAGACGCUAUUUUACCUACGCUUAGGAUGUUGAACUACUGAGACAUAGA
rnacentral:rRNA from 1 species